rnacentral:rRNA from 1 species
GAGUUUGAUCCUGGCUCAGAUUGAACGCUGGCGGCAUGCCUUACACAUGCAAGUCGAACGGCAGCAUGAUCUAGCUUGCUAGAUUGAUGGCGAGUGGCGAACGGGUGAGUAAUACAUCGGAACGUGCCCUGUAGUGGGGGAUAACUAGUCGAAAGAUUAGCUAAUACCGCAUACGACCUGAGGGUGAAAGUGGGGGACCGCAAGGCCUCAUGCUAUAGGAGCGGCUGAUGUCUGAUUAGCUAGUUGGUGGGGUAAAGGCCCACCAAGGCGACGAUCAGUAGCUGGUCUGAGAGGACGAUCAGCCACACUGGGACUGAGACACGGCCCAGACUCCUACGGGAGGCAGCAGUGGGGAAUUUUGGACAAUGGGCGAAAGCCUGAUCCAGCAAUGCCGCGUGUGUGAAGAAGGCCUCGGUGUAAG